AGAGUUUGAUCAUGGCUCAGAGCGAACGCUGGCGGCAGGCUUAACACAUGCAAGUCGAACGCCCGUAGCAAUACGGGAGUGGCAGACGGGAGAGUAACACGUGGGAACGUGCCCUUCAGUUCGGAACAACCCAGGGAAACUUGGGCUAAUACCGGAUACGUCCGUAAGGAGAAAGAUUUAUCGCUGAAGGAUCGGCCCGCGUCUGAUUAGCUAGUUGGUGAGGUAAUGGCUCACCAAGGCGACGAUCAGUAGCUGGUCUGAGAGGAUGAUCAGCCUCACUGGGACUGAGACACGGCCCAGACUCCUACGGGAGGCAGCAGUGGGGAAUCUUGGACAAUGGGCGCAAGCCUGAUCCAGCCAUGCCGCGUGGGUGAUGAAGGCCCUAGGGUUGUAAAGCCCUUUCGGCGGGGAAGAUAAUGACGGUACCCGCAGAAGAAGCCCCGGCUAACUUCGUGCCAGCAGCCGCGGUAAUACGAAGGGGGCUAGCGUUGCUCGGAAUCACUGGGCGUAAAGCGCACGUAGGCGGAUUGCUAAGUCAGGGGUGAAAUCCUGGAGCUCAACUCCAGAACUGCCUUUGAUAUUGGCGGUCUCGAGUCCGGGAGAGGUGAGUGGAACUGCGAGUGUAGAGGUGAAAUUCGUAGAUAUUCGCAAGAACACCAGUGGCGAAGGCGGCUCACUGGCCCGGUACUGACGCUGAGGUGCGAAAGCGUGGGGAGCAAACAGGAUUAGAUACCCCCGUAGUCC
rnacentral:rRNA from 1 species